rnacentral:tRNA from 222 species
GCGGGUGUAGUUCAAUGGUAGAACUUCAGCCUUCCAAGCUGAUAGCGUGGGUUCGAUUCCCAUCACCCGCUCCA